GAUGAACGCUAGCGAUAGGCUUAACACAUGCAAGUCGAGGGGCAGCAUGGUCUUAGCUUGCUAAGACUGAUGGCGACCGGCGCACGGGUGCGUAACGCGUAUGCAACUUGCCUCACAGAGGGGGAUAACCCGUCGAAAGACGGACUAAUACCGCGUACACUUGGGAUAGGGCAUCCUGACCCAAGGAAAUGAAAUUCGCUGUGAGAUAGGCAUGCGUCCCAUUAGCUAGUUGGUGAGGUAACGGCUCACCAAGGCGACGAUGGGUAGGGGAACUGAGAGGUUGAACCCCAAAACUGGUACUGAGACACGGACCAGACGCCUACGGGAGGCAGCAGUGAGGAAUAUUGGUCAAUGGGCGAGAGCCUGAACCAGCCAAGUCGCGUGAAGGAUGACUGUCUUAUGGAUUGUAAACUUCUUUUAUACGGGAAUAACAAGAGCCACGUGUGGCUCCCUGCAUGUACCGUAUGAAUAAGCAUCGGCUAACUCCGUG
rnacentral:rRNA from 1 species